GACGAACGCUGGCGGCGUGCCUAACACAUGCAAGUCGUGCGGUCUCGCCUUAAGCGAAAGGCCUUCGGGCUUUGAAGCAAAGGCGAGAUAGCGGCGGACGGGUGAGUAACGCGUGGCUUAUCUGUCCCAGGGAGGGGGAUAACGUCUGGAAACGGGCGCUAAUACCCCAUAUGCCGAAAGGUAAAAAGGAGAGAUCCGCCCUGGGGUGAGGCCGCGUCCUAUCAGCUCGUUGGUGAGGUAACGGCCCACCAAGGCUAUGACGGGUAGCCGGCCUGAGAGGGCGGCUGGCCACACUGGGAUUGAGAUACGGCCCAGACUCCUACGGGAGGCAGCAGUGGGGAAUAUUGGGCAAUGGGGGGAAACCCUGACCCAGCGACGCCGCGUGGAGGAAGGAGCCCUUCGGGGUGUAAACUCCUGUGUAAGGGAGAAGACAGUGACGGUACCUUACGAGGAAGCCCCGGCAAACUACGUG
rnacentral:rRNA from 1 species